AGGCACUAUUCUUCAGCCUGAACGGCCUUUUCCUUGGCCUUUCACACAGGUCAAGAUAAGUGCGAGAUCACAUGAAGUCUUGUCAUAACUGGAGUUUCUUGGCAAUUUUCCCAAGUCUCUCUUUUAAAGCAAGACACAGAA